AUACCGGCAGCUCAAGUGAUGGCCGCUUUUAUUGGGCCUAAAGCGUCCGUAGCCUGCCAGACAGGUCCGUCGGGAAAUCUGCUCGCUCAACGAGCAGGCGUCCGGCGGAAACCAGCUGGCUUGGGGCCGGAAGACCCAAGGGGUACGUCUGGGGUAGGAGUGAAAUCCUGUAAUCCUGGACGGACCACCAAUCGCGAAAGCACCUUGGGAGGACGGACCCGACGGUGAGGGACGAAAGCUAGGGUCACGAACCGGAUUAGAUACCCGGGUAGUCCUAGCUGUAAACGAUGCUCGCUAGGUGUGGCACAGGCUACGAGCCUGUGCUGUGCCACAGUGAAGACGUAAGCGAGCCGCCUGGGAAGUACGUCCGCAAGGAUGAA
rnacentral:rRNA from 2 species